rnacentral:rRNA from 1 species
GACGUAGGGGGCCAGCGUUGCUCGGAAUUACUGGGCGUAAAGGGUUCGUAGGCGGUGCGGCAAGUCGGGAGUGAAAUCUCUGGGCUUAACUCAGGGGCUGCUUCCGAAACUGCCGUGCUUGAGUGCGGGAGAGGCGAGUGGAAUUGCAGGUGUAGCGGUGAAAUGCGUAGAUAUCCGCAGGAACACCCGUGGCGAAGGCGGCUCGCUGGACCGCAACUGACGCUGAGGAACGAAAGCUCGGGGAGCGAACGGG